AUUGAACGCUGGCGGCAGGCCUAACACAUGCAAGUCGAGCGAGUGUCGGACGGGUGAGUAAUGUCUGGGAAACUGCCCGAUGGAGGGGGAGAACUACUGGAAACGGUAGCUAAUACCGCAUACCAUCAGAUGUGCCCAGAUGGGAUUAGCUAGUAGGUGGGGUAACGGCUCACCUAGGCGACGAUCCCUAGCUGGUUUGAGAGGCUGACCAGCCACACUGGAACUGAGACACGGUGCAGACUCCUACGGGAGGCAGCAGUGGGGAGUAUUGCGCAAUGGGCGCAAGCCUGAUGCAGCCAUGCCGCGUGAGUGAAGAAGGCCUUCGGGUUGUAAAGCACUUUCAGCGGGGAGGCGUUACCCGCAGAAGAAGCACCGGCUAACUCCGUGCCAGCAGCCGCGGUAAUUC
rnacentral:rRNA from 1 species